UACAGAGGGUGCAAGCGUUGUUCGGAAUUAUUGGGCGUAAAGGGCGCGUAGGCGGCCACGCACGUCCGUUGUGAAAUCGCCCGGCUCAACUGGGCGGGGUCGGCGGAUACGGCGUGGCUGGAGCAAGCUAGGGGGCAAUGGAAUUCCCGGUGUAGUGGUGGAAUGCGUAGAUAUCGGGAGGAACACCAGUGGCGAAGGCGGUUACCUGGAGCUUUGCUGACGCUGAGGCGCGAAAGCGUGGGGAGCGAUCCGG
rnacentral:rRNA from 1 species